ensembl:lncRNA
AUAUUUUUGGAUUGUAUUGCACACUAAAUGGCCGCGCGCCGAGACAAAGACAGCAGCUCGAGCUCAUUAAUCUCUGUCGAGGGGAGCUCGGGUGCGAGCCGCGUGACUGAAGUAACGGCGCGUGCUGUCGGGACCGGCUUCCCGAGCCGCCUUUGAUUCCCGCGAAGCGAUCAAUCAGACCGAACCUCGGGACCGGGCCGCUUCUGCUAGAAGUACUAAUUACUCUGACACCGUUCCAGAGCGAACAUGAACACCUUCACUGUGUGAAGACGCGAGUCUGUGUCUCUGACCUGCUGAUAUAAACUCAUGAGAAAUAUUAUUUACACGCUUUCAGUGUUCAGGCGUUUGAUUCACAGAGAGGCCCAUCUCUCCCAGAUUUAUAAUUAUCACAGUCCUUACAAAAUAACAUAUCUACCUGUCAUUAGCAAGAAGCAGAUGAUAUGAAUGUCUGUUUCCACACAUUCAGGUGGGAUGUACUCUGAGAGCCUGUGCUGGUUCCUCUGGGAAUAUGAAGUGUGUUUGUGUUUCUGCAGCUCGGUUUGCGUUCGGUGUGAUCUUCUAAACUCAGGGCUGUUUCUGUGUGUUAUCGGUCGGUGUGUUGUGCGGAUCUUUUGUGAAGUAGCUGCUCCGGCAUUCUUUCAUUAUCUGGAGCAACAAAGAAAGUCUUUUGUUUGCAGUUUUCCUGCAGGCGCCUCCAUCCGUCCGUAACUUACUACUGUCCCCUGCUGGCCGUCCACAGCACUCUACAGGACCCCUGGCUCUGUGUGUGUGUGUGUGUGUGUGUUGAGCUGCAGUAAAUGUGUCUGGAGUAACACACACUGGACUGUGUUUGUAAUUGUGCUAAAACGCUGAGAGGAAGAGCUCAUCCGAACACCACGUUUGCUGGGUAAAUAUGGCAGAUUUUGAGAAUAAUCCUGCAGAAUUAAUGUUGUAAGAUGAUAUGCAUGCAUGUGUUUAUCCUCUGGUCCAGAGUUUUGUUUCGAUCGAUCAUUAAUGUGCCUUCAUGUGCUGCUCUUGUGCUGUUAUUAUUUCCUUCUCAGGGUUUUCUGCGGGGGGUUAAACGUCUCGGCUGACAGUUCACGGAUGUGCAGUCAGGUUACUCAUGUCAAAUGACCAAUUAAAGGGGCUAUAGAGGAUGGCAGGGCGGUCUCUAGUGCUGCGCUCUCACGGGACACCAAUCAAACGAGAGCUCUAUCACUCAAAUGUAAACUGGAUUCAUUCAUUAGCCAUUUACCAGCCCUAUCAUUAUUCAUUACACACAUGCACAGAGAGACGCGUCUGCCAGGGGACACAGCACAGAGCAAGAGACAGUUCUGCUGUGGCACUGCAUCCCAUUAAUUGACCCUUUUGGUGAGAUAUUAUUAAAAUGAUAGUUACAUUGAUUUUGAAGCAUGCAUUCUGGAUUUAGUAAAAACUCUAAAAACAUUUUUUAUUACUUAAAAAUUCCUCAGAAAUGAUAUUUUUGAACUAAAUCCUAAAAUUAAUGUCACAAUGGGUAAUAAAUGGCAAAAAUAUUCAAUAUGAGUGUGCACAUCUCAUAAUACUGAAGCGCUGCAAUUUAAGACAUUUACUUCAGAAUUAGAGCAUGCACUCUUGAUUUUGUAUAAACAGUGGUACAUUUGUAUUAUUUAAAGAUCCCUGUGGACUUUUAAUGAUCUUUUUGAACUAAAUUCUAAAAUUAAUGUCAUUACAGGUUUUAAAUAAUCAUUAUGAAUUUGCUCAUCUCAUAAUACUGAAGCACUGCAAUUUAAGACAUUAACAGAAGUGCCGUAUUCCUUUUACUCAGUGUGUGUGUGUGAGUGUGUCUCCC